rnacentral:rRNA from 1 species
AUACGUAGGUGACAAGCGUUAUCCGGAUUUACUGGGCGUAAAGGGCGUGUAGGCGGUCUUGCAAGUCAGAAGUGAAAUUCCUGAGCUCAACUCGGGCGCUGCUUCUGAAACUGCAGGACUUGAGUGCUGGAGGGGAUAGCGGAAUUCCUAGUGGAGCGGUAAAAUGCGCAGAUAUUAGGAAGAACACCGGUGGCGAAGGCGGCUAUCUGGACAGUAACUGACGCUGAGGCGCGAAAGCGUGGGGAGCAAACAUGAUUAUAUGCCCUGGAAUUCCACGCCAUAAACGAUGAAUACUAGGUGUAGGGGGUAUCGACUCCCUCUGUGCCGCAGUUAACACAAUAAGUAUUCCGCCUGGGGAGUACGGCCGCAAGGUUGAAACUCAAAUGAAUUGACGGGG